rnacentral:ncRNA from 1 species
GGAAUAGUAUUGACGGAAAAAAGUACUUAUUGGAGUGCUUCUCAGAGAUCCGGCGGAUGGUGCGAGCCGGAAAGCAGAAAAUAAGGAAGUUCUUUCCCGAACUGCCGCGCUGAAAGUCGAGUAGGAGCGGCCGGAGUGAUCCGCGUUACAGGAUCGAGAGUCGAUCUGAUCGAGUAGGGUGGUACCACGGAACUUCCGUCCCUUGGGUACCACCCUUUUGUGUUUAUCAGAUAACUUGGGUGGUACCGCGGCGGAUUCCGUCGUCCCCUGC